rnacentral:misc_RNA from 1 species
GAUUGCAACACUUGCAAAACUCACAUGUAAAAUGUAAAGAACAAAAUGCAACAGACUUUCAGUCAAUAAAGCAUCUCAUACAAACUCAAGUGCACUAUCCAACCAAACAAAAAGAAAAACAGAAAUCUUAAAAAACAACUACUAUCAUGUAUUAUUAUUCCACAACAAACUGCACCCUUCAACUAACACACGAGUUUGUUACCUCUUUGCAUAACAAGUAAUACGCGAAUUAACCCACUUAUGUAGUGAGGUUGGGAGGAAGGUAGUCAGAUUUAGUACCAAGAACCCGGGCCUUGGUGUCGGGGAAAAAUUCAUGGCCUGGUAGCUCUGUGAUAUCCCCUUCGCUAGCCACUCCAAUAGGGUAGCGGAGCAAGUGACCAGGCAGAUCUCUUUCCAGACUCUCACUUGAAUACAGAUCCCAGUAUUUAUCAGCUAUUUGAUUCACCUUUCUCACACAUUCCUCACUUUCUGGAUGUUGGAAGGUCUCAUCGAGCAUACCAAGGUGCUCGUACCACAAUGCCAUUCUGAAACCAUGAACUUGACCCCUAGCUGGUUUACUGGUGGCCAAAUGAUAAGGCUGGUAGGCUCCCAUGGCUAUUUCUGAAUCUCUAGCACCAUCCAUAGAUCUCUGGUUUAUGUUGGCCGAUCCAACUAUGAUGUACUCGUCAUCCACAAUCAUCAUCUUGGAAUGGACAUAUAUCAUGAAACGUCGUGCCUCCUGGGCUCGCAUGUAAUUAGAAUCAGGCUCUGGGCUCUCAGAAGGUUCAUAUUCUCCGCUCUUCUUCACCUCUCGGUUACCAAUGCAGAAAAAUGUCAAAUAAUUCCUUGGAUCUUCCUCAAUACCUUUAGCAUUCAUUGCUUGAACAAUGCACUUGUACAUCAUCUCCAUUGUCCUCCUCUGCCAGUCUAAUAUUGCUUGUACUGAUGCACUUUCGGGGAUUCCUUCUGGCCACAUUGGGACUACAACAUAAACAGUAAACCUUUCCCCGGCUUCAAUCUUACUGACAAUCUUCAAAGCAAGUUCCUUUGGAAUGACAUGCAAAGCACCUAUGUCCUCUACCUUGACAUCAUCACACUGCCAGUCGGCACAGCUUCCAAGAAAAUACUGAUUUUCAAUGUAAAUAAAAUUUUUUGCACGACGAAUAGCAUGAAUAUAAGCAUCUUGGAUGCUUCUAUCAAUUAUGUUAUCCUUCCCACUGACAAGACCAGCUUUUGCAGCAUCUUCAGGUGUGUCAGGAAAGCCAAAAGCAGCCCCUCCAUCAAUUGAUCUGAAUAACUGAACAUUCCAUGUUUCAUGAUCAUCAGGGUACAUCACCGGGGAUGGUGGAAUUAUAACAUCAUCAAGCUCUCUAAAGUUGACAAGAAUAUCCUUCCCUCCCUGCUUUCUCCAUCUCUGUUCAAAAUUAAACAGAACGUCCCAAGCAAUUGGGCCUUCAAGCCGAGAGUGAAUGUCAUGCCAGGGCUCCCUUGGUCCACCUUUGGUAAUUGAGCCAUCAGCAAAAUUAGGUUGGUGGAAAUCAUCAUGAUGUGCAGUGUCCAAUGUCCUAAAAAGCGAAUGGAAAGGUGUAUCAUAUCUCCCAUCGCAAAGAUCAAUACCUCCCACAAAACUCAGAAUUCUCCUCUUUUCCAACUCUCCGCUGGGCAGUGCACUGUCCACUACUAUGAUUUUCUGGUGAUGGGUAAACAUGGUAGAGAUUUGUAUAUCUUGGACAAAGCUUCCACCAUUAUCAGGAUUCCGAGGGCAGAGGACACAAUUUACAUCAGUACCUUGAAAGUACUGUUCAGUUUCUUGGUCAUGAGUGGCCAUCAGACCAUCCUUCUUCAGCAAACCGACAGACGUCCUAUCAUCCCAAACAAGCAUAAGAACUUUUACACCUUCACUUGCCUUCUUCUUGAGCAGCUCCCCCAACAUGAUGUCUCCUCCAGGUUUUUGCCUCCUCGAGUCCCUCACCAAGGCUAUUUCAGUAUAUACUGACCAGCCAGUAAUGUAAAUCAAGUGCUUUGCAUUAGUAAUAGCAUCA